rnacentral:misc_RNA from 1 species
GGCUUGUGAACUAAAUUUCUUGAAAUGUUCAUAAUGUAUGGCUUUUAUGACCUAUGCAGAGAUAAGGCCUAGAGCACUUUCAGUUGAGUUGACUCUAUUCCACUGUCAUUAUUAUCUUUUCGUCUGUUAAAAAUAAGAAAGGUCAGAUCACAUGAUUUAAAUGCUGAGAUAGAGGAGCUUAUAAACAAAACAAUCACCUAUUAUUACAAAAUUUUAGCUCUUUCUAUUCUCUAUAAAUAAACAACAAAUGGGGCUUUGAGGGAUCCUCAAAUGUCAGCAGGAUCACUGAUCUCCUUGUUCUCCAGCACCACUCCAUCAGGAAUUUCCAAUUUCUGCCCAGGCUUUGCAACAAUUCUUACUCUCCCCUUAAGAGUCACAUAAGAGUCACAUCAGCUCCAAACCACAACAUCACCAAUCACCUUCAAGUUAUCUAGCCCAGCUAUACUAGGGAUGGAUUUGAAGCGACUUAGGAAGUCACUAACCUUUUCAAAUUCAGGUCCUAAUUCAAUAGAUGGAUUUACAGGGUUAUCUCUAGCUGCAUUCCGAACUAAGAUGCCUUCAGAAGAUGAAUACAGAUCAGACUGGAGAAGAAGCAUGUCCGAUGUUGCAUUUAGUGGUACAAACCGAGAUUGAGGGACAAUUAUGCCAAUAGCUUGAUCAAAUAACUUUGCAAUUGAAAGAUUCUCCACCUUCAGCGCAUCAGUAUCAACAAGCCUUUUAAUGGUUUUCAAAUUCACCCAUAAGCUUCUUGUAUCAAUAAAUUUGAAUUCCUCCAUCAAAUGCUUAGAAGGAUUCUGCGUAAUUUCCCGAAGCUGAAACCUUCCUUGACGCUGAUUAGCCAAACUAUUCCUCAUAUAAGUUGAUGCAGUUGGAGUCACCUCCAUACAAUAUUCGAUCUUGUUUUGGAUCAAAUGGUUCAGGAUAUUAGGAUCAAUGGCAGCAGCAGAGUUAUCUGAGCUAAUCACAUGCACAUACUCCUUUCCCUGUGACAAUAAUACAUCAAGAGUUCCACUCUUCAUCAAGGAAAGGAACGCUGAAGCAUCCUCAGAAGUAGACGAUUUAUCCUCGCUGUUCUGAUCAUCAAGAGAUUCCAGGCUAAAAGGAUGAAUAUAAACACUUAACCUGGCAUAUUUCCCCAAAACCUUCAAGGUAUCAUCAUGUGUUCUGGUUGAAUUCAUAAGCACCAAAGGUAUGUGGCACCCAUACUUGGAAUUGAGAGACUCAACUUGAUUAACAAUUAAGUCAAGAGAAGUCAAACCAUUACAAACUUCAAUUGCAGACUUGGGGCCACUAAACCCCACUGGGUUCCCCAAAGUGCCAUUGAACUUCACGAUCACAAGCUUUUCCAAAAGCUGUUUAAUUUCCACAAUAUCAUAAGGAGGAGGAGCCAAAUUCUGAUAAGGA